rnacentral:rRNA from 1 species
UACGUAGGGGGCUAGCGUUAUCCGGAAUUACUGGGCGUAAAGGGUGCGUAGGCGGUCUUUCAAGCCAGAAGUGAAAGGCUACGGCUCAACCGUAGUAAGCUUUUGGAACUGUAAGACUUGAGUGCAGGAGAGGAGAGUGGAAUUCCUAGUGUAGCGGUGAAAUGCGUAGAUAUUAGGAGGAACACCAGUAGCGAAGGCGGCUCUCUGGACUGUAACUGACGCUGAGGCACGAAAGCGUGGGGAGCAAACAGGAUUAGAUACCCGCGUAGUCCUU